rnacentral:tRNA from 2 species
GUUACUUUGGCAGAAUAGUGCAAUUGAUUUAGAAUCUUUAUAUGUAUUUAAUACAAGUAAUA